UUCAUGCUGGUCUCAUUUUUCAGGAGAUUCUUUAUUAUUGUUUUUCAUCCCAGAUGAUCUGCUGUCCUCCAGUGACAUGGCUAAGUAUGAAAUCCUGCGAGAUUUUGUGGGAUUUGAGUUUUUAAAAGUGGGGCGGAGCCUAACGACAGGGACGUUUAGGGCCAGCAGCUUUUGGCCUUUCUUCAUCUUAAAUAAUUAGUUUUUAAUUUUUGAACAUGAUAUUUUUACCAACAUGCCUUUAGUUUCUAGACGCCUCUAAACUUUAAAAGAAUUGGUUUUCCUGAAUUUAGAAAUGGAAAGAAACAAACAGCAUCGGCGCCAUUAAAGCAGCAACCAGGUUCUGCUUUGCUGCAUUUUACUGCCCAGGAUUGUGAAGGUGCCACCGGUGUAAUUUAUCGAAACAUCUGUAGAGGGAGGCGCCUGUUUGGUUAAAUCGAAGGAUGAGCCGUUUUGAAGCCAAUCCAGACGUUUAGCAGCGGAGACGCUUCACCUCUCGGCCUCACCAGCUGGAGUUCAGAGGUUUGACUUUACUGGAAUCAGACUGGACCUUCUGAGUGAAAGGAAAACAUCGAGACUAAAUCAAGUUAAAGGGAUUAUUGUGAAAUAAAAUGCUAAUUCUGUUUUCCCAAUUGGUGAUUAAAGACAGGAUCAGUAUAUAAAUAUAAUAACUGCAGAGUGACGGCAGCUUUCUGGGGUCUAAGGGAAGAUAUUUCAGUCAGAGUGAGACCUCUUGUCAGCAUUCAGAUCUAAACCGUGCAGGUUAAAGGAGCACACUUCCUGUUCAAUGGAGGAAGAGUCAAAGUUUCCCCUGCAGCUCAGAGUCUGGACCGGUUCUGGUAGAAACAGAAACAGAGAAACGAAUCCGGUGAGAGUUUCUGCUCCGAGCGGCGAGUUUAAAAUUCAUGUAGAUGUUUGGAAACAUUUUCAUGAGGAGCUCAGAUUGAUCCGCCUGCUGAGCGAUAGAGUCGGCCUGACAGAGACGGCUGCAGGUCAGAGAAACACGAGCAGCAACGCAAACACGAUGAAACGAUGCUGCAGCUUCGUCAUCAUCAUCAUCAGCUUCAUCAUCACCCAGAUGGGAUUUUAACAGCAGCAGGAAGCGCAGAGCCAUUCGACGCUAAGUGUGUCGUUCAGGUGAAACGACACGAUUCAGUCACAGAAUCAGAACAUUUUUAUCUUCAGACAAAGAUCUUCAUUCAGACUGAACAGAGUCACAGAGCUGCAGGAAGAACAACCAGCCUGGAUUCAAACCAACCACAGCGGAAACGCAGACGGUGAAGCUUUUUAGGUUCUCCAGACGGUGAGGCUUCCUGCAGGAGGUUUUAGACGUUCAUCUGAAUAAAACUAAUGUAUCUGAAAUAUCCAUCUAACAAAAUAAACAGAUGCUUGGAUGGAAA